rnacentral:rRNA from 1 species
GAUGAACGCUGGCGGCGUGCCUAAUACAUGCAAGUCGAGCGAACGGACGAGAAGCUUGCUUCUCUGAUGUUAGCUGCGGACGGGUGAGUAACACGUGGAUAACCUACCUAUAAGACUGGGAUAACUUCGGGAAACCGGAGCUAAUACCGGAUAAUAUUUUGAACCGCAUGGUUCAAAAGUAAAAGACGGUCUUGCUGUCACUUAUAGAUGGAUCCGCGCUGCAUUAGCUAGUUGGUAAGGUAACGGCUUACCAAGGCAACGAUGCAUAGCCGACCUGAGAGGGUGAUCGGCCACACUGGAACUGAGACACGGUCCAGACUCCUACGGGAGGCAGCAGUAGGGAAUCUUCCGCAAUGGGCGAAAGCCUGACGGAGCAACGCCGCGUGAGUGAUGAAGGUCUUCGGAUCGUAAAACUCUGUUAUUAGGGAAGAACAUAUGUGUAAGUAACUGUGCACAUCUUGACGGUACCUAAUCAGAAAGCCACGGCUAACUACGUG